AAUACUACUCUUAUUGUAAUGCAUGAAGAAACAUCAGCGUGUUUUCUUAAGGUAUUAAGCAAGGGGAGGUAAAUCCUGUUCCCUGAACACAGAGGCAUCCUGUGAUGUCCACAGGAAAACACAAUUUCUACAAACACCGUGUUUGGGUGUGAUAGGUCCUGACAGUCUAGAGAUGAUCGACCUUCCAGUCAAGCAAGAAACACAGAAAGCUAUUGCCAGGAUUAUUAUGAUUAUGGUGACUGGACGUCAGCUGAUCAAAGGGAACAUUACGCCAUGGAAGGGCGAGGACAGUACCACAAAUCCUACGAUGACGACGAUGAUACCAGACAUGAAGUAGACAGUCCGCCUCCUUAUUCAGAGGAUACCCCGCCCACCAGAGAACAAACUUACUCACAUAAUUAUUCAGUAAACCCCAACAAUUAUCCACAUGCCCACAACUACACAUACGCUCCACCCACAUACACACCCACAACUCAACCCACAACCCUAACGUACCCAACGAACGAUAACUUGGAACAAAAUCAACCGCAGCCCCCAGCCUAUGUACAGAGUUACUGAGAUAACCCGGCUAUUGUUAACUUGCCGUAUUGGAGAGAUGAUCCUACGCCACAAGGGGUGGCCCAAUCCACAUAUGGUGCACAUGCCCCUUGGCCACAAACGCCAGAGGAACCGUACCAAGAUGUUCCCACGUACAAGAUCUGUAGCGUGCUUAUCCUCAUCUUCUGCUGUCUGCCCCUUGGUGUAGCAGGUCUGGUGUAUUCAUCUCGCGCUGAAAACUUGAAGGCCGAAAGAAAAUACACUCAGGCCAAAAUUGUUGCUAAAAAGGCGAAAACCACGAACAUCGUUGGACUUGUGUUUGGUGUCUUCAUCUGGGUGGUGAACGGUGUUUUUUUCUACUUCAAGUUUAAAUACUUGCAACAAAGCUACUGACACCUUUAUCACCUUUGGUCGUAGUAAAUGGCUGGUUACACACAGUCCACUAAACUAGUAACAGUGAUGUUUAGUCUAGCAAUAAUAUGUUUAGACACUUAUGCUUUAUGUAUAAAUAUGUAUAACAGUGGCGUCGCUAGGUCGGGUGUCACCCGGUGCGGCACUUCUUGGU